rnacentral:rRNA from 1 species
UACAGAGGUCUCAAGCGUUGUUCGGAUUCAUUGGGCGUAAAGGGUGCGUAGGCGGCGCGGUAAGUCGGGUGUGAAAUCUCGGAGCUUAACGCCGAAACUGCAUUCGAUACUGCCGUGCUUGAGGACUGGAGAGGAGACUGGAAUUUACGGUGUAGCGGUGAAAUGCGUAGAUAUCGUAAGGAAGACCAGUGGCGAAGGCGGGUCUCUGGACAGUUCCUGACGCUGAGGCACGAAGGCCAGGGAAGCAAACGGG